GACGAACGCUGGCGGCGUGCUUAACGCAUGCCAGUCGAACGGUGAAGGGGUCUGCUUUUGUGGGCCCUGGAUGAGUGGCGAACGGGUGAGUAACACGUGAGUAACCUGCCCCCUUCUUCUGGAUAACCGCAUGAAAGUGUGGCUAAUACGGGAUAUUCUGGGUCUGUCGCAUGAUGGGUCUGGGAAAGAUUGCGCCUUUGGGUGUUUUUGGUGGGGGAUGGGCUCGCGGCCUAUCAGCUUGUUGGUGGGGUGAUGGCCUACCAAGGCGGGGACGGGUAGCCGGCCUGAGAGGGUGGACGGUCACACUGGGACUGAGACACGGCCCAGACUCCUACGGGAGGCAGCAGUGGGGAAUAUUGCACAAUGGGCGCAAGCCUGAUGCAGCGACGCCGAGUGAGGGAGGGAGGCCUUCGGGUUGUAAACCUCUUUCGCCAGUGAAGCAGGCCUGCUCCUUGUGGGUGGGUUGACGGUAGCUGGAUAAGAAGCGCCGGCUAACUACGUG
rnacentral:rRNA from 1 species